UUUUUUUUCGUUUCGGUUUUCUUUCCGAAACCCUAGAUCGGUUUUUCUCGUCGGUUUUUCCGGUUUUGUUGUUUAGUGAGCGUUCGCCGGACCGUUCGUCUUAACGAACGUGAUCACCGGUUAUUCCCGGUUAACGAACGUCCAUUCGUUUAACCGUUCGUCGUUUUCUUUUUAAUCGGAUUUAUUCCGCUAUUUUUCUGAUAGCGAUUUCAGAUCCGAUCUUCUUUUUAGUUUAUCUUCUCGCUCGUUUAUCGGAAUCAGGUGAUUCAAGCACCUGGAGUUUCGUUUCGAAACCGCCGUUCCGACUAAUCCACUUAAACCAAGUUUUGCUACUAUAAAAUUUGACUUAGUUUCAAAUUGCUAGAACCGAGUUGUUUUCUCUCGCCGUUUGACUUUCGUUGCUUUAUUCGAUUUGAUUCUUUUGCAACCAGGGUUCUUAAGUUGGACUUUCUGGUUCGAUCUUUCAUUCGAGUUUUACCUGUGCAUUAGAUGAGUACUUAUUGUAUGCUUGUUGUUUGUCUGUGAUAGAUCACCCGGAGUGCGCCGCUUGUUACUUCGAAUCUCUAGGUUUCACGGAUCAUCAGCAAGGCAAGUAACACUUGAUCAUACCUUUUUCUACUACCCAGUUUUUAUGCAUUAGAUCAAUCCUCAAACAUUGCAUGAUUAGGAUCUAAUUAAAUUGUGGGAUGGGAAGUAGAUGAGGUAGUACCUAUUACCUGUUCUACUUAUGAAACCUUUGGGAGUUACUUCUACGUUUGCUUAUUAUGCCAUGCUAUGCUAGUAGACGUGGAUUGGGUGAGUGAAUAUCCAUGACAGAUGUGAGUUUGUUAAUUAAUGGUUUAUCUAAGGUGGCAACUUAAAUACACAUCUGGGUGGAUUGAGGCACCUGGAGUUACCAGGACUUGCCUAUUUUUUUUGGAAAUCCCAGGGGUACCGUGUGAUUUUCCUAUGGACCGCCACCCAGGCUCAAAGGGAUCAUAAGAUAAUUCAUACUAGUAACUUACGUGUGCAGCCACAAGCCAUUAUGGGCUCUGGCAUAGUUGACUAAGUCGUGCGAACUCUUAUAGUGGUGGACUAGCAGAUGUAGGGGAUGUAGGUGUACCUGUCUACCCAUCGUAAGGUGCUAGAGCUUCUGAAAGACUAUGUAUCGGUCAUCCGUUUCUCAAACACCAUGGAGUGCGGGAAACCAAACGGAGGCGAUCGAGUCUUGUGGGGAAAAGUGCGCAAACCUCUGCAGAGUGUACAAACUAAUCAUGAUUAGCCGUGUCCCCUGUUAUGGACAUCUUGAGUAUCUAGUACUUGGAUAUUCUGUGAAUCUCAACAUGUUACUCUAAUUUAAUAUUGAUGGGUUUGUUAAUGAGUAUUUUUAAUUGGGAUUGAGGAUGCUGUCAACCAUUCUCAAUGUUUAACAACCACCAUGGUAGUUAAAUAAACUUAUUCCUUUGCAGUAGGGAAAAUUGGCUUUAUGCAAAAACUGUAACCAUAGAGCUUUACCACCAGCCAUAUAUGCAUGUAGUAUAGGCUUAUCAUUCAUUAUUCCCUAUGUGUUACAUUGCCAGCAUAUUCCAUGUGCUGACCCGUUUUCGGGCUGCAACUUUCAUGUUGCAGACUUUUCAGACGACGAGUAAGGUGCUUUUAGGUCGUGGUUCUAUACUCAGUGAUGCCGUUGGAGUUGAUGGACUCACUUAUCUUCCAAGUCUUCCGCUGUUAUCGUUAUUAGAUGGCCUUAAGCCAUGAUUAUUGUAAUAAGUCCUCUUUUGGACAAUGAUGUAAUAAGUGUGUGAUUGCUACUCUGUUAUAAAUCCUUCAAAGUACUGUGUGGUGUCAGCAUUACUGAUCCAGGGAUGACAUCUAAGCACAGAAACUUGACCAUCUAAGGUCGGGUCGCUACAGAGAUGGUAUCAGAGCACACGAUGACUGUAGGACACGACCACUAAGUUAAAGCCAUAGAUCAUUAUUCUCUUCUCAUUUUCUAACUCCUCAUCUUUUCUACUCUUUUAGGAUGACGGACGCAAAGAUCAAGUACGCUCAACCAGAUGAAGGUGAAGGAAAUAUGCCCUAGAGGCAAUAAUAAAGUUAUUAUUUAUUUCCUCAUAUCAUGAUAAAUGUUUAUUAUUCAUGCUAGAAUUGUAUUAACCGGAAACAUGAUACAUGUGUGAAUACAUAGACAAACAUAUAGUCACUAGUAUGCCUUUACUUGACUAGCUCAUUAAUCAAAGAUGGUUAUGUUUCCUGACCAUAGACAUGUGUUGUCAUUUGAUUAUUGGGAUCACAUCAUUAGAAGAAUGAUGUGAUUGACAUGACCCAUUCCAUUAGCCUAGCACUUGAUCGUUUAGUAUACUGCUAUUGCUUUCUUCAUGACUUAUACAAAGUUCCUACAACUAUGAGAUUGUGCAACUCCCGUUUACCGGAAAAACACUUUGUGUGCUACCAAACAUCACAACGUAACUGGGUGAUUAUAAAGGUGCUCUACAGGUGUUUCCGAAGGUACAUGUUGGGUUGGCAUAAUUCGAGAUAAGGAUUUGUCACUCCGAUUGUCGGAGAGGUAUCUCUAGGCCCUCUCGGUAAUACUCAUCACCUAAGCCUUGCAAGCAUGUAACUAAUGAGUUAGUUAUGAGAUGAUGUAUUAUGGAACGAGUAAAGAGACUUGCCGGUAACGAGAUUGAACUAGGUAUUGGAUACCGACGAUCAAAUCUUGAGCAAGUAACAUACCGAUGACAAAGGGAACAACGUAUGUUGUUAUGCGGUUUGACUGAUAAAGAUCUUCGUAGAAUAUGUAGGAACCAAUAUGGGCAUCCAGGUCCCGCUAUUGGUUAUUGACCGAGAAUGGUUUUAGGUCAUGUCUACAUAGUUCUCGAACCCGUAGGGUCCGCACGCUUAACGUUUCGAUGACAGUUUUAUUAUGAGUUUAUAAGUUUUGAUGUACCGAAGUUUGUUCGGAGUCCCGGAUGUGAUCACGGGCAUGACGAGGAGUCUCGGAAUGGUCGAGACAUAAAGAUUGAUAUAUUAGAAGCCUAUGUUUGGACAUCAGAAUGGUUCCGGGUGAAAUCGGCAUUUUACCGGAGUACCGGGAGGUUACCGGAACCCCCCGGGGGGUUAAUGGGCCUACAUGGGCCAAGAGGGAGAAGAGGGAGGAGACAGGAGGGGGCCGCGCGCCCCUCCCCCUCCUAGUCCGAAUAGGACAAGGGAAGGGGGGCGGCGCCCCCCCUUUCCUUCCCCUCUUCCUCCUCUUUCCCCUUUCUCUCCUACUCCUACUUGGAAAAGGGGAGUCCUACUCCCGGUGGGAGUAGGACUCCCCCCUUGGUGCGCCCCCUAGGCCGGCGGCCUCCUCCCCCCUGGCUCCUUUAUAUACGGGGGCGGGGGGGCACCCCAUAGACACACAAGUUGAUCUAUGGAUCGUUCCUUAGCCGUGUGCGGUGCCCCCUUCCACCAUAUUCCACCUUGGUCAUAUCUUCGCGGAGUUUAGGCGAAGCCCUGCGCCGGUAGAACAUCAUCAUCGUCACCACGCCGUUGUGCUGACGGAACUCAUCUCCGGAGCUCAGCUGGAUCGGAGACCGGAGAUCGUCAUCGAGCUGAACGUGUGCUGAACUCGGAGGCUCCGUAUGUUCGGUGCUUGGAUCGGUCGGAUCGUGAAGACGUACGACUACAUCAACCGCGUUGUGAUAACGCUUCCGCUUACAGUCUACGAGGGUACGUGGACAUACACUCUCCCCUCUCAUUGCUAUGCCAUCACCAUGAACUUGCGUGUGUGUAGGAAAAUUUUUGAAAUUACUACGUUCCCCAACAGUGGCAUCCGAGCCAGGUUUUAUGCGUUGAUGUUAUAUGCACGAGUAGAACACAAGUGAGUUGUGAACGAUAUAAGUCAUACUGCCUACCAGCAUGUCAUACUUUGGUUCGGCGGUAUUGUUGGAUCAAGCGGCCCGGACCGACAUUAUGCGUACGCUUACGCGAGACUGGUUCUACCGAUGUGCUUUGCACACAGGUGGCUGGCGGGUGUCAGUUUCUCCAACUUUAGUUGAACCAAGUAUGGCUGCGCCCGGUCCUUGCGAAGGUUAAAACGGAGUCUAUUUGACAAACUAUCGUUGUGGUUUUGAUGCGCAGGUGAGAACGGUUCUUGCUAGGCCCGUAGCAGCCACGUAAAAUUUGCAACAACAAAGUAGAGGACGUAUAACUUGUUUUUGCAGGGCAUGUUGUGAUGUGAUAUGAUCAAGACGUGAUGCUAUAUUUUAUUGUAUGAGAUGAUCAUGUUUUGUAACCGAAGUUAUCGGCAACUGGCAGGAGCCAUAUGGUUGUCGCUUAAUUGUAUGAAAUGCAAACGCUCUGUAAUUGCUUUACUUUAUCACUAAGCGGUAGCGAUAGUCAUAGAAGAAAUAGAUGGCGUAAACGACAACAAUGCUACGAUGAAGAUCAAGGUGUUGCGCUGGUGACGAUGGUGAUCACGACGGUGCUUCAGAGAUGGAGAUCACAAGCACAAGAUGAUGAUGGCCAUAUCAUAUCACUUAUAUUGAUUGCAUGUGAUGUUUAUCCUUUAUGCAUCUUAUCUUGCUUUGAUUGAUGGUAGCAUUUUAAGAUGAUCUCUCACUAAAAUUAUCAAGUAGUGUUCUCCCUAAGUAUGCACCAUUGCCAAAGUUCGUCGUGCCGAGACACCACGUGAUGAUCGGGUGUGAUAAGCUCUACGUCCAUCUACAACGGGUGCAAGCCAGUUUUGCACACGCAGAAUACUCAGGUUAAACUUGACGAGCCUAGCAUAUGCAGAUAUGGCCUCGGAACACGGAGACCGAAAGGUCGAGCGUGAAUCAUAUAGUAGAUAUGAUCAACAUAGUGAUGUUCACCAUUGAAAACUACUCCAUCUCACGUGAUGAUCGGUUAUGGUUUAGUUGAUUUGGAUCACGUGAUCACUUAGAUGACCAGAGAGAUAUCUGUCUAAGUGGGAGUUCUUAAGUAAUAUGAUUAAAUGAACUUACAUUUAUCAUGAACUUAGUACCUGAUAGUAUUUUGCUUGUCUAUGUUUGUUUGUAGAUAGAUGGCUCGUGCUGUUGUUCCGUUGAAUUUUAAUGCGUUCCUUGAGAAAGCAAAGUUGAAAGAUGAUGGUAGCAAUUACACGGACUGGGUCCGUAACCUGAGGAUUAUCCUCAUUGCUGCACAGAAGAGUUACGUCCUGGAAGCACCGCUGGGUGCCAGGCCUGCUGCUGAUGCAACUGACGACGUUAAGAACGUCUGGCAGAGCAAAGCUGAUGACUACUCUAUAGUUCAGUGUGCCAUGCUUUACGGCUUAGAACCGGGUCUUCAACGACGUUCUAAAUGUCAUGGAGCAUAUGAGAUGUUCCAGGAGUUGAAGUUAAUAUUUCAAGCAAAUGCCCGGAUUGAGAGAUAUGAAGUCUCCAAUAAGUUCUAUAGCUGCCAGAUGGAGGAGAAUAGUUCUGUCAGUGAACACAUACUCAGAAUGUCUGGGUAUAAUAAUCACUUGAUUCAACUGGGAGUUGAUCUUCCUGAUGAUAGUGUCAUUGACAGAAUUCUCCAAUCACUGCCACCAAGCUACAAGAGCUUCGUGAUGAACUAUAAUAUGCAAGGGAUGAACAAGACUAUUCCCGAGCUCUUCGCGAUGCUGAAAGCCGCGGAGGUAGAAAUCAAGAAGGAGCAUCAAGUGUUGAUGGUCAACAAGACCACUAGUUUCAAGAAAAAGGGCAAAGGGAAGAAGAAGGGGAACUUCAAGAAGAACGGUAAGCAAGUUGCUGCUCAAGAGAAGAAACCCAAGUCUGGACCUAAGCCUGAAACUGAGUGUUUCUACUGCAAGCAGACUGGUCACUGGAAGCGGAACUGCCCCAAGUAUUUGGCGGAUAAGAAGGAUGGCAAAGUGAACAAAGGUAUAUGUGAUAUACAUGUUAUUGAUGUAUACCUAACUAGAGCUCGUAGUAGCACAUGGGUAUUUGAUACUGGUUCUGUUGCUAAUAUUUGCAACUCGAAACAGGGACUACGGAAUAAGCGAGCACUGGCCAAGGACGAGGUGACGAUGCGCGUGGGAAACGGUUCCAAAGUCGAUGUGAUCGCGGUCGGCGCGCUACCUCUACAUCUACCUUCGGGAUUAGUUUUAGACCUGAAUAAUUGUUAUUUGGUGCCAGCGUUGAGCAUGAACAUUAUAUCUGGAUCUUGUUUAAUGCGAGACGGUUAUUCAUUUAAAUCAAAGAAUAAUGGUUGUUCUAUUUAUAUGAGUAAUAUCUUUUAUGCUCAUGCACCCUUGAAGAGUAGUCUAUUUUUAUUAAAUCUCGAUAGUAGUGAUACACAUAUUCAUAAUGUUGAAGCCAAAAGAUGCAGAGUUGAUAAUGAUAGUGCAACUUAUUUGUGGCACUGCCGUUUAGGUCAUAUCGGUGUAAAACGCAUGAAGAAACUCCAUACGGAUGGACUUCUGGAAUCACUUGAUUAUGAAUCACUUGGUACUUGUGAACCGUGCCUCAUGGGCAAGAUGACUAAAACACCGUUCUCCGGAACUAUGGAGAGAGCAACAGAUUUGUUGGAAAUCAUACAUACGGAUGUAUGUGGACCGAUGAAUGUUGAGGCUCGUGGCGGAUAUUGUUAUUUUCUCACCUUCACAGAUGAUUUGAGCAGAUAUGGGUAUAUCUACUUAAUGAAACACAAGUCUGAAACAUUUGAAAAGUUCGAAGAAUUUCAGAGUGAAGUAGAAAAUCAUCGUAACAAGAAAAUAAAAUUUCUACGAUCUGAUCGUGGAGGAGAAUAUUUGAGUUACGAGUUUGGUUUACAUUUGAAACAAUGCGGAAUAGUUUCGCAACUCACGCCACCCAGAACACCACAACGAAAUGGUGUGUCCGAACGUCGUAAUCGUACUUUACUGGAUAUGGUGCGAUCUAUGAUGUCUCUUACUGAUUUAACGCUAUCGUUUUGGGGUUAUGCUUUAGAGACGGCCGCAUUCACGUUAAAUAGGGCACCAUCAAAAUCCGUUGAGACGAUGCCUUAUGAACUGUGGUUUGGCAAGAAACCAAAGUUUUCGUUUCUUAAAGUUUGGGGCUGCGAUGCUUAUGUGAAGAAACUUCAACCACAUAAGCUCGAACCCAAAUCGGAGAAAUGUGUCUUCAUAGGAUACCCAAAAGAGACUGUUGGGUACACCUUCUAUCACAGAUCCGAAGGCAAAACAUUCGUUGCUAAGAAUGGAUCCUUUCUAGAGAAGGAGUUUCUCUCGAAAGAAGUGAGUGGGAGGAAAGUAGAACUUGAUGAGAUAACUGUAUCUACUCCCUUAUUGGAAGGUAGUUCAUCACGAGAACCGGUUCCUGUGACGACUACACCAAUUAGUGAGGAAGCUAAUGAUAUUGAUCAUGAAACUUCAGAUCAAGUUUCUGCAGAACCUCAUAGGUCCACCAGAGUAAGAUCCGCACCAGAGUGGUAUGCUAAUCCUAUUCUGGAAGUCAUGUUACUUGACCAUGAUAAACCUACGAACUAUGAGGAAGCGAUGAUGAGCCCAGAUUCCGCAAAAUGGCUAGAGACCAUGAAAUCUGACAUGGGAUCCAUGUAUGAAAACAAAGUAUGGACUUUGAUUGACUUGCCCGAUGAUCGGCAAGCCAUUGAAAAUAAAUGGAUCUUUAAGAAGAAGACUGACGCUGAUGGUAAUGUUAUUGUCUAUAAAGCUCGACUUGUUGCAAAAGGUUUUCGACAAGUUCAAGGGGUUGACUACGAUGAGACUUUCUCACCCGUAGCUAUGCUUAAGUCUGUCCAAAUCAUGUUGGCUAUUGCUGCAUUUCAUGAUUAUGAAAUUUGGCAAAUGGAUGUCAAGACUGCAUUCUUGAAUGGAUUUCUAGAAGAAGAGUUGUAUAUGAUGCAGCCGGAAGGUUUUGUUGAUCCAAAAGGUGCUGACAAAGUGUGCAAGCUCCAGCGUUCCAUUUAUGGACUGGUGCAAGCAUCUCGGAGUUGGAAUAAACGCUUUGAUAGUGUGAUCAAAGCAUAUGGUUUUAUACAGACUUUUGGAGAAGCCUGUAUUUACAAGAAAGUGAGUGGGAGCUCUGUAGCAUUUCUAGUUUUAUAUGUUGAUGACAUAUUAUUAAUUGGAAAUGAUAUAGAAUUUCUGGAUAGCAUAAAGGGAUACUUGAAUAAAAGUUUUUCAAUGAAAGACCUCGGUGAAGUUGCUUACAUAUUGGGCAUCAAGAUCUAUAGAGAUAGAUCAAGACGCUUAAUAGGACUUUCACAAAGCACAUACCUUGACAAAAAAUUUGAAAAAGUUCAAAAUGGAUCAGGAAAAGAAAGGAUUCUUGCCUGUGCUACAAGGUGUGAAGUUGAGUCAAACUCAAUGCCCGACCACAGCAGAAGAUAGAGAGAAAAUGAAAAAUGUUCCCUAUGCUUCAGCCAUAGGCUCUAUCAUGUAUGCAAUGCUGUGUACCAGACCUGACGUAUGCUUAGCAAUAAGCUUGGCAGGAAGGUACCAAAGUAAUCCAGGAGUGGAUCACUGGACAGCGGUCAAGAACAUCCUGAAAUACCUGAAAAGGUCUAAGGAUAUGUUUCUCGUGUAUGGAGGUGACAAAGAGCUAGUCGUAAAUGGUUACGUCGAUGCAAGCUUUGACACUGAUCUGGACGAUUCUAAAUCGCAAACCGGAUACGUGUUUAUAUUAAACGGUGGAGCUGUAAGUUGGUGCAGUUCUAAACAAAGCGUCGUGGCGGGAUCUACAUGUGAAGCGGAGUACAUAGUUGCUUCUGAAGCAGCGAAUGAAGGAGUCUGGAUGAAGGAGUUCAUUUCCGAUCUAGGUGUCAUACCUAGUGCAACGGGACCAAUGAAGAUCUUCUGUGACAAUACUGGUGCAAUUGCCUUGGCAAAGGAAUCCAGAUUUCACAAGAGGACCAAGCACAUCAAGAGACGCUUCAAUUCCAUUCGGGACCAAGUCCAAGUGGGAGACAUAGAGAUUUGCAAAAUACAUACAGAUCUGAAUAUUGCAGACCCGUUGACUAAGCCUCUCUCACGAGCAAAACAUGAUCAGCACCAAGACUCCAUGGGUGUUAGAAUCAUUACUAUGUAAUCUAGAUUAUUGACUCUAGUGCAAGUGGGAGACUGAAGGAAAUAUGCCCUAGAGGCAAUAAUAAAGUUAUUAUUUAUUUCCUCAUAUCAUGAUAAAUGUUUAUUAUUCAUGCUAGAAUUGUAUUAACCGGAAACAUGAUACAUGUAUGAAUACAUAGACAAACAUAUAGUCACUAGUAUGCCUCUACUUGACUAGCUCAUUAAUCAAAGAUGGUUAUGUUUCCUGACCAUAGACAUGUGUUGUCAUUUGAUUAAUGGGAUCACAUCAUUAGAAGAAUGAUGUGAUUGACAUGACCCAUUCCGUUAGCCUAGCACUUGAUCGUUUAGUAUACUGCUAUUGCUUUCUUCAUGACUUAUACAAAGUUCCUACAACUAUGAGAUUGUGCAACUCCCGUUUACCGGAAGAACACUUUGUGUGCUACCAAACGUCACAACGUAACUGGGUGAUUAUAAAGGUGCUCUACAGGUGUUUCCGAAGGUACAUGUUGGGUUGGCAUAAUUCGAGAUUAGGAUUUAUCACUCCGACUGUCGGAGAGGUAUCUCUGGGCCCUCUCGGUAAUACUCAUCACCUAAGCCUUGCAAGCAUGUAACUAAUGAGUUGGUUAUGAGAUGAUGUAUUACGGAACGAGUAAAGAGACUUGCCGGUAAUGAGAUUGAACUAGGUAUUGGAUACCGAUGAUCAAAUCUCGAGAAAGUAACAUACCGAUGACAAAGGGAACAACGUAUGUUGUUAUGCGGUUUGACCGAUAAAGAUCUUCGUAGAAUAUGUAGGAACCAAUAUGGGCAUCCAGGUCCCGGUAUUGGUUAUUGACCGAGAAUGGUUUUAGGUCAUGUCUACAUAGUUCUCGAACCCGUAGGGUCCGCACGCUUAAUGUUUCGAUGACAGUUUUAUUAUGAGUUUAUAAGUUUUGAUGUACCGAAGUUUGUUCGGAGUCCCAGAUGUGAUCACGGGCAUGAUGAGGAGUCUCGGAAUGGUCGAGACAUAAAGAUUGAUAUAUUGGAAGCCUAUGUUUGGACAUCGGAAUGGUUCCGGGUGAAAUCGGCAUUUUACCGGAGUACCGGGAGGUUACCGGAACCCCCCGGGGGGUUAAUGGGCCUACAUGGGCCAAGAGGGAGAAGAGGAAGGAGCCGGGAGGGGGCCGCGCGCCCCUCCCCCUCCUAGUCCGAAUAGGACAAGGGAAGGGGGGCGGCGCCCCCCCUUUCCUUCCCCUCUUCCUCCUCUUUCCCCUUUCUCUCCUACUCCUACUUGGAAAAGGGGAGUCCUACUCCCGGUGGGAGUAGGACUCCCCCCUUGGCGCGCCCCCUAGGCCGGCGGCCUCCUCCCCCCUGGCUCCUUUAUAUACGGGGGCGGGGGGGCACCCCAUAGACACACAAGUUGAUCUACGAAUCGUUCCUUAGCCGUGUGCGGUGCCCCCUUCCACCAUAUUCCACCUCGGUCAUAUCGUCGCGGAGUUUAGGCGAAGCCCUGCGCCGGUAGAACAUCAUCAUCGUCACCACGCCGUCGUGCUGACGGAACUCAUCUCCAGAGCUCGGCUGGAUCGGAGACCGGAGAUCGUCAUCGAGCUGAACAUGUGCUGAACUCGGAGGCUCCGUACGUUCGGUGCUUGGAUCGGUCGGAUCGUGAAGAUGUACGACUACAUCAACCGCGUUGUGAUAACGCUUCCGCUUACGGUCUACGAGGGUACAUGGACAUACACUCUCCCCUCUCGUUGCUAUGCCAUCACCAUGAUCUUGCGUGUGCGUAGGAAAAUUUUUGAAAUUACUACGUUCCCCAACAGAAGACACACCUUUUGGAUUCCAUUUGAAGGAAGUCGCCAAGUACCUGAACAUUGGACUACCAAGCUUCACCGGGACUUUCAACGCCACUCUGCCUGAAGAGGAGCGCUGGAAGAUUCAAGCUCAUGUUCCGGGAAGGACAUUCGCGCCAAUCACCAAGCCCAUAGAUAGUGUUUUCAGUGCACCAACCUGGAGUCUGGGAAAGAGCAUGGCAGCUCAUAUCACCAUGGGACGCAUUGGAGAAGUUUACCAAGAAGACCUCAAGGACACUAUCUACCAAAUUUGCGGACGCCGGAAUGAAUAUUGGGAGAUAGUCAGCACCAAGAAGGAUAGAUCCAUUGCAGCUUUCAUCCAGGAGUUAAACCAGCACAUUCGACGCCAGGAGAACCAGAUGUGCAAUGAUAUGAUAGAGUUGAAGAAUGCGAAGGGAAGGAUCAUCGAACUUGAAGGAGAGCUGAAGUCUAAACACAAGGAAUACAUGGACGAUAUCGUAUCUGUCGCAAGGCACAAUAGCGAUCUUAAGUAUGAGAUUGGGGAACUCAAGAAGAAAUUAGCGCUCAAGAAUGAAGACAAGUACAUCGACUGUCCAAGCAACUACAUCAUCAUCGACGACACCGAUUCGGAUCCAAGUGAACCCGAUUUUGAAGACGAAGCUGGAGCAGACAUCAUGGAGUCUUCCACCGGUUCAAAUUAAUAGAUGACCACCAUAUAUUAGUAGUAUUCCCUCCAUGUAAACAUUAUAGUACACGCACUUUGCGAUAGUUAGACUGUUGUAUGCCCUUUGUUUGAAAUGAAUGAAGUGAUUUUGUGUGCAUUUGUCUCAUGAGCAUUUGGGUUGUGUUUUCUCCGUAGACCUCACUCUAUUCUUAAUUUCUCGUCUUUUCUAAACCCCUCAGAUGCCUCCGAGACGCGACCCCGAGUUUGUUUUCCCGCCAGAGAUCACUCAGUUGAUUCAGCAGCAGAAUACUUUGAUUCAGACAUUGGUGCAGAACCAAGGCAAUAACAACAACAACCCACCACCACCACCACCUGCGGAUCACUUGACUCGUUUCCUUAGGCUGAAUCCGCCGGUGUAUUCCAGUAGCACCGAGCCGAUUGUAGCAGAUGAUUGGCUCCGCAAGAUAGGAAGGGAGUUGACCACUGCAGGAUGCACAGAUGGUGAGAAGGUGAAGUUUGCUGCACAUCAGCUUGACGGACCCGCAGCAGCAUGGUGGGAGAAUUUCACAGCCACUUACCCAGUAGACACUGUCACAUGGGAUCAAUUUCAGCAAGCUUUCCGCACUGCCCAUGUUUCAGCAGGAGCUAUGGCCAUGAAGAAGCGUGAGUUUUGCAACUUACGCCAAGGAGGAAGGACUGUUGGCCAGUAUGUGGAUGAUUUAGUAAGUUAGCACGUUAUGCCCCAGAUGACGUUGCUACAGAUGCAGCUAAACAGGAGAAGUUUCUGGAAGGACUGAAUGAUGAGUUAAGAAUGCAGUUGAUGGUAGCAAGAUUCAAUAACUACCAGGAGUUGGUAGACCGUGCCCUCAUGAUUGAAGGAAAGCGGCAGCAGAUUGAGAAUCACAAGAGGAAGUAUGGGCAAGGAAAGUAUAACUCUGGAGCCCAGCAGAAGCCCCAUUAUACACCUAAACAGGAAGUUCGGUUUCAGCAUACCCAUGGAGGAGGUAGUUCACACAACCAUAAUGGCCACAAGAAUGGUAAUGGGAAUGGAGGAAGCAACGGCCAGAACCGGACCACACCAUCAACCCCGGCCAAGAAAGACAUGAGCCAUGUCACCUGUUACAAGUGUUCCAAGACCGGACAUUAUGCAAGUGAUUGUCCCGAAGGCCAAGGUGGAAAUGGAAGCUCUGGAAAGAAGCCAAACCCUUUCAACAGGGGACAGGUGAACCACAUCUAUGUGGAGGAGGUUGAAGCUCAGCCCGAUGCAGUAAUCGGUAAGUUUUUGGUUAAGACAUUUACUGCACUUGUUCUUUUCGAUACUGGUGCAUCGCAUUCAUACAUAUCAAGGGGAUUUGUAGAAAGGUAUAGUCUGCCUACCCAGAUUCUUAAAACCCCUAUGCUAGUAAGUUCACCAGGAGCAGACUACAUGGCCAGACAAGGAUGUUUUCAAGUGCCAUUGAGUAUAGGAAGGCAUGUAUUCCCAUCAGAUUUGAUCAUUCUAGAAUCCCAAGGUUUGGAUGUGAUUCUCGGUAUGGAUUGGCUGUCGAUGUAUGGAGGAAACAUCGAUUGCGCAAGUAAGACUAUUUUGCUCACGACGCCAGAAGGAAGGAGGAUUAGGUAUGUAUCACGGCAUGGACCAAAUAGGAAUCAAGUAAAUUCCUUAUCAGGAGUUGUGCAGGAAGAGGUACCAGUGGUGAAGGAUUAUCCUGAUGUAUUUCCUGAGGAAUUGCCAGGAAUGCCACCGGAUAGAGACAUUGAGUUUUUGAUUGAGCUUUUGCCAGGAACAGGCCCAAUAUCGAAGCGACCAUACAGGAUGCCCGCACAGGAUUUGGCGGAAAUCAAGAAGCAGAUUAAGGAGCUAUUGGAUAAAGGUUAUAUAUGCCCAAGUUCUUCGCCUUGGGGAUCACCCGUACUUUUAGUGGAGAAGAAGGAUGGAUCAUUAAGGAUAGUUCUUGAUUACCGUGGAUUGAAUGCAGUAACAAUCAAGAACAAGUACCCACUACCAAUGAUAAAUGAUCUGUUUGGUCGUUUGCAAGGAGCUAAAGUGUUUUCCAAGAUCGAUUUGCGAUCAGGGUACCAUCAGUUGAAAAUUCGAGAACAGGACAUACCUAAGACAACGUUCACCACAAGAUAUGGACUGUAUGAGUAUACCGUUAUGUCAUUUGGACUGACUAACACACCUGCCUAUUUCAUGAACCUGAUGAACAAAGUGUUUAUGGAGUUUUUGGAUAAGUUCGUCGUGGUGUUCAUUGAUGAUAUUUUGAUUUACUCAAAGAAUGAAGAGGAACAUAAGGAACAUUUGCGAUUGGUUUUGGAGAAACUAAGGGAACAUCAGCUAUAUGCCAAGUUCAGCAAAUGUGAGUUUUGGCUAAAGGAAGUUGGAUUUCUUGGACAUGUUAUAUCUGGAGAAGGUAUAGCAGUUGACCCCACAAAGGUUGAGACCGUAACCAAAUGGGAAGCACCAACGACCGUUGGAGAGAUCCGGAGUUUUCUUGGACUCGCAGGAUACUACCGGAGAUUCAUUGAGAAUUUCUCAAGGAUUGCAAAGCCUAUGACGGAGUUGCUGAAAAAGGAUACCAAGUUCAUAUGGACGGAGGAUUGUGAGGCAAGUUUCCAGGAGUUGAAGAAAAGAUUGGUUACCUCACCAGUGUUAAUUUUGCCAGAUCAGACCAAGGAUUAUGAGGUGUAUUGAGACGCUUCACGUCGAGGACUUGGAGCUGUGCUUAUGCAGGAAGGGAGAGUUGUUUCGUAUGCUUCACGACAACUAAAACCUCACGAAUUAAAUUAUGCCACACAUGAUUUGGAGUUAGCAGCCGUAGUGCAUGCAUUGAAGACAUGGAGACAUUUCCUCAUUGGAAAUCAUUGUGAGGUGUACACGGAUCACAAGAGUUUGAAGUACAUUUUCACGCAGAAGGAGUUAAACCUUAGACAAAGAAGAUGGUUGGAGCUCAUCAAGGAUUAUGAUAUGAGAUUGCAUUAUCAUCCCGGAAAGGCUAAUGUAGUAGCUGACGCAUUGAGCCGCAAGAGCCAUGUCAAUACGCUGAUGACGGGAGAGAUACCAAAGGAAUUAGCAGAAGAUCUUCGUGAGCUAUGUUUGGAAAUAGUUCUGAGAGGCUAUGUAGCAGCAUUGGAGAUUUAGUCUACCUUGAUGGAUAAAAUCAGAGAAGCUCAGAAAAAUGACAAAGAGAUCGCGGAGAUAAAGAAGAAAAUGAGCGAAGGAAAAGCAAAGGGAUUUCGUGAGGAUGAGCACGAUACCCUAUGGUUUGAGGACCGUGUUUAUGUGCCAAAUGAUCCGGAGAUCAGGAAGUUGAUUCUGCAAGAGGCACAUGAUUCACCCUAUUCGAUUCACCCAGGAAAUACCAAGAUGUAUUUGGAUUUAAAGGAAACGUUCUGGAGGACCGGAAUGAAGAAAGAUAUUGCGGAGUAUGUAGCAGUUUGUGAUGUAUGUCAGAAAGUGAAGGCAGAACAUCAAAAGCUAGCAGGAUUGUUGCAACCAUUGCCGAUACCCGAAUGGAAGUGGGAUAAACUAGGCAUGGAUUUCAUCACGGGUUUGCCAAAGACUCGUUUAGGCUAUGACUCGAUUUGGGUUAUAGUCGACCGCUUGACGAAGGUAGCGCAUUUCAUUCCAGUCAAGACUACCUAUAGCAGUGCUAAGUUGGCAAAGAUAUACAUGACCAGAAUUGUGUGUUUGCACGGAGUUCCAAGGAGUAUCGUAUCAGAUAGAGGAACCCAAUUUACCUCAAAGUUUUGGAAUCAGCUGCAUGAAACAUUGGGAACGAGGCUGGAAUUCAGUACAGCUUUUCACCCCCAGACAGAUGGACAGACUGAGAGAGUCAAUCAGAUUUUGGAGGACAUGCUGAGAGCUUGUGCACUAGAUUAUGGAUCUAGUUGGGACGAUAACUUUCCGUACGCAGAGUUUUCGUAUAACAACAGUUACCAAACCAGCUUGAAGAUGGCACCUUUCGAAGCUUUAUACGGAAGAAGGUGCAGAACACCGUUGUCAUGGGACGAGGUUGGAGAUCGUCAGUUGUUUGGGCCAGAUUUGAUUAAGGAGUCUGAACAGAAAGUUAAGUUGAUUCGCGACAGGCUCAAGGUAGCCCAGUCCAGACAGAAGAGCUAUGCGGAUUCAAAAUGCAAGGCGAUAGAAUAUGAAGUUGGAGACAGAGUUUAUCUUAGAGUAUCCCCACUUCGAGGAGUUAAGCGUUUUGGAGUUAAAGGAAAAUUAGCACCACGUUUUCUUGGACCGUAUAAGAUCUUGCAACGCAUGGGAGAAGUCGCUUAUAAGUUGGAAUUACCUGAGGGACUGUCAUGAGUUCACGACGUAUUCCAUGUUUCUCAGCUGAAGAAAUGUCACGUCGAGAUGGCAGAGGUACAACUAAGAGAUACAGUGCCACUGGAAGCAAUUCAGUUGAAGGAUGAUUUAACAUAUGAGGAGAAACCAGUUAAGAUUCUCGAAUAUGCCAGCAGAGUUACUCGCAGCAAGGUUAUCAAGUUUUGCAAGGUUCAGUGGAGCCACCACACUGAGGAUGAAGCCACCUGGGAGAGAGAAGAAGAUUUGCUCAAGGACCACCCUCACCUAUUUUCUAGCCAACCCGAAUCUCAAGGGCGAGAUUCAUCUUAAGGGGGGUAGGUUUGUAACAUCCCAAAUUUUCAAUUUGGAAUGUUAUACAUUAGAUCAUCAUGCAUUACAUAUUUUCUUGCAUUGUUGAUCCUAGAAAUUUCACGCAACUCAAAGACCCACGGAGAGAGUUGGAGAUUUCGAAAUUUCGUAUUUGAGUUCUCUCAAAUUAUGAAAAGAGGAUCAUUUGAUUUUGUUUAUUUUAUCUUCAAAUAUUUUUUUUCAAUAUCAAAAAUAAGAGGGGGAAUAAUAUGACUUUCCCGAAAUUUAGGAAAAAUGAGGAUUUAAUAAAUAAAUCAAAUUUUGGAUUUUUCUCGGAGUUUAUUUGCCCUAGGAAAAAUGCGUAUUUUCAAAAAUUGCAUUUUAGGCCCUGAGUAAAAGUUCAUUUUGUUCGACUCAUUUUUAGGAGUCGGGGAAAAUUUACUUUGUAAUUUUUGGAGUCCGGUAGAUUUUCUUUUCUGUGUUUUUCCGCGUGUGAAACCGAUUUAAAAAAAAUGCCGCAGCGCGACUGGGCCAAAGGCCCAGCCGGCCGAGCCGCCGCUUGCCACCGCCUGCGCCAGGUCGCACGCGCACGCGCGCAGCGCCGCUGCGCCAGGGAGCCAGCGCCGCCGUUUUCCUUUUCUUUUGCAAAUCCUCGUAGGAUUUGGACCCCGUUUCGUUAUUCCGUUUUUGUUUCUAGGAUUCCUAUUCCUACUCUUAUUCCUUGAUCCCUCCUCCAAGCAAAACCCUCCCCUCCCCAAUAUAAAUACCCAAGCACCCCCCCCUCUAAACAUCAAAUCAAAACCUCUCCUCUCCUCCCGCAGCGCAGCGCAGCAGCAGCAGUAGCCAGCGCCGCUGCCGCCGCCCCUCACCCACGCCGCCGCCUGCCAGCGCCGCCGCUUGCCACCGCUGCCGCCAAGUGCCGCCGCCACCGCCCAACGCCGCCGCCGCCGGAGCCCCUCGCCUCUUCGAGGUACUAGCCCCGCGCCGCGUCACUUCUUCCCCUCGGUUCGGUUUUUCUCGUAAACCGUUCCGGUUUUCUAGAUCGGUUUUUUUUUCAUUUCGGUUUUCUUUCUGAAACCCUAGAUCGGUUUUUCUCGUCGGCUUUUCCGGUUUUGUUGUUUAGCGAGCGUUCGCUGGACCGUUCGUCUUAACGAACGUGAUCACCGGUUAUUCCCGAUUAACGAAUGUCCGUUCAUUUAACCGUUCUUCGUUUUCUUUUUAAUCGGAUUUAUUCCGCUAUUUUUCUGAUAGCGAUUUCAGAUCCGAUCUUCUUUCUAGUUUAUCUUCUCGCUCAUUUGUCGGAAUCAGGUGAUUCAAGCGCCUGGAGUUUUGUUUCGAAACCGUCGUUCCGACUAAUCAACUUAAACCAAGUUUUGCUACUGUAAAAUUUGACUUAGUUUCAAAUUGCUAGAACCGAGUUGUUUUCUCUCGCCGUUUGACUUUCGUUGCUUUAUUCGAUUUGAUUCUUUUGCAACCAGGGUUCUUAAGUUGGACUUUCUGGUUCGAUCUUUCAUUUGAGUUUUACCUGUGCAUUAGAUGAGUACUUAUUGUAUGCUUGUUGUUUGUCUGCGAUAGAUCACCCGGAGUGCGCCGCUUGUUACUUCGAAUCUCUAGGUUUUGCGGAUCAUCAGCAAGGCAAGUAACACUUGAUCAUACCUUUUUCUACUACCCAGUUUUUAUGCAUUAGAUCAAUCCUCAAACAUUGCAUGAUUAGGAUCUAAUUAAAUUGUGGGAUGGGAAGUAGAUGAGGUAGUACCUAUUACCUGUUUUACUUAUGAAACCUUUGGGAUUUACUUCUACGUUUGCUUAUUAUGCCAUGCUAUGCUAGUAGACGUGGAUUGGGUGAGUGAAUAUCCAUGACAGAUGUGAGUUUGUUAAUUAAUGGUUUAUCUAAGGUGGCAACUUAAAUACACAUCUGGGUGGAUUGAGGCACCUGGAGUUACCAGGACUUGCCUGUUUUUUUGGAAAUCCCGGGGGUACCGUGUGAUUUUCCUAUGGACCGCCACCCAGGCUCAAAGGGAUCAUAAGAUAAUUCAUACUAGUAACUUACGUGUGCAGCCACAAGCCAUUAUGGGCUCUGGCAUAGUUGACUAAGUCGUGUGAACUCUUAUAGUGGUGGACUAGCAGAUGUAGGGGAUGUAGGUGUACCGGUCUACCCAUCGUAAGGUGCUAGCCUUCUGAAAGACUAUGUCUCGGUCAUCCGUUUCUCAAACACCAUGGAGUGCGGGAAACCAAACGGAGGCGAUCGAGUCUUGUGGGGAAAAGUGCGCAAACCUCUACAGAGUGUACAAACUAAUCAUGAUUAGCCGUGUCCCCGGUUAUGGACAUCUUGAGUAUCUAGUACUUGAAUAUUCUGUGAAUCUCAACAUGUUACUCUAAUUUAAUAUUGAUGGGUUUGUUAAUGAGUAUUUUUAAUUGGGAUUGAGGAUGCUGUCAACCAUUCUCAAUGUUUAACAACCACCAUGGUAGUUAAAUAAACUUAUUCCUUUGCAGUAGGGAAAAAUUGGCUUUAUGCAAAAACUGUAACCAUAGAGCUUUACCACCAGCCAUAUAUGCAUGUAGUAUAGGCUUAUCAUUCAUUAUUCUCUAUGUGUUACAUUGCCAACAUAUUCCAUGUGCUGACCCGUUUUCGGGCUGCAACUUUCAUGUUGCAGACUUUUCAGACGACGAGUAAGGUGCUUUUAGGUCGUGGUUCUAUACUCAGUGAUGCCGUUGGAGUUGAUGGACUCACUUAUCUUCCAAGUCUUCCGCUGUUAUCAUUAUUAGAUGGCCUUAAGCCAUGAUUAUUGUAAUAAGUCCUCUUUUGGACAACAAUGUAAUAAGUGUGUGAUUGCUACUCUAUUAUAAAUCCUUCGAAGUACUGUGUGGUGUCAGCAUUACUGAUCCAGGGAUGACACCUGAGCACAGAGACUUGACCAUUUGAGGUCGGGUCGCUACAUGGCCUGUCCAACCUCUCGGUCCAUAUAACAGAGAUCAGUUGUGUGCUCAAAUCUGGUUGCAGGGGGCAUAUAUCCCUCUGAAACUAUUUCCGCAUCCUCUUUCUGUAACACAAAAGAGGUACUAAAUCCUCACAGAGGCAUUCUAGUGCCCCAACCCCUGGAGCAUUAUGUCUAAAUCAUUCAGAGGCUUUACCGCUACCAUAUUACAAAUCAUCUCCAUGUAUCUAUCAGUAUGUAAGUCUAUCAAGUCAUUAACUGAUUUAGCUACUUCUUUCCCAUUGUUAGCCUAUGAAACACCCAAUUUACUGGCAUUAUGAAUGAUCUCAUCAUCGGAGAAAUGCAAAAAUGAGCAACUUGUAUUAGCUGCCAUACCUGUAGUGGCCUCGAUGUCACGAACCUUGGUCGCCCGCAUGGAACGCCCCAACUGCAAGUCGUCAGCAUCCGGUUGAGCCUGAAUCCGGUGGCUCACCCGUCUGUCCUCAGACGUCGGGUCUGGGAUCCCUCCCAAAGCGAUGAUGUUGUCAGUGGUAGGCCUAGUUGGGACAAGGCCACCUGCCAGGUGCCCAACUGUACCCACCACCACCGAACCAGUAGGUGGCAUCCUCACGCUAUGCUUGUGCGGACUGUGUGGCGAGAUAGUCCUUCGGAGCUCGGCCUCAGAGGAAGAAGCCCUGUCUAUGUGAACAGCUGCCUUCGCCAAGCCCCCCCCCCCUCCCCGGUCAUGGUAGGGGCUUGGGCCGGCGUCGACAGCAGCGGGCCAGUGGGGCGUGACGAGGCCUCCUGCCAAGUGUCUCCUACCACUCCCGCCUGAGAUACCCGCUGAGGCAUCAUGAGCAGCCUAGGCGAUGCGACCCGCACCGAGCCGAUAUCAGCACCCAGCUAUGCCGGUGCACCUAGAGAAGCCACCGGCAACAACGGUGGCAACUCCUUCUCCACAGGGUCGUCCAGCUCAGCCCUAUGCCCCCAAAGGCGGGCAUGGAGCAGUUUUAUAUACAUAUGCACUUUUUGUAAGUCGAGUAGAUAAUGUUUUCUGCUAAACAACUAUACAUGGCAUAUUUUGAGUUUUUGACACGUCAUUUUUUCCCCAUUUUUCCAAAUGGGAAGCUUUGUCAUCCAACAUGUGUAUUGCAUUGCUCCUACUUAAAUUUUCAAGCAACAAAAACCAAAUAAGUCACAACUAAAUUAUUAUUAUUUUUCGAGGGUACGCAAAUUGCGUACCAUAGCUGUAUAGAAGAGGAGAAAAACAAUUUACAAGAGUGUUGAGGUGUUGCCAACAGCCACAGGUCGGCAGAGGCCACACAAAAACUCCAACUCCACACACUAAGCUAACUUCUCACAAAAGAUCACUAACUCCUCUUCCUCCGGCCAUCACCCACAUGUGAAGUUCAUCGAUUAUCUUGUUGACUGAAUCCAGAACCGAAGAUGGAGUGCUAGCCGGGCGAAAAAAUCGAUCAUUUCUUUGCUUCCAAAGAUGCCAACUGACUAGUAUCACGAAAGAGUCGAAAGCUCUCCGGUUCUCCUUUGCUACCCUCUGUCGGGCGUUUCCCCACCAAUGCUCCAGAGUGUCGUUGGCGUUGGGAGCUAAAUUAGGCCCAAGCCUCGUCCUGGACAACGCCAUGUGCCAAACUUGUCUCGAGAUGACGCAUUUGAUAAGGAGGUGGUCCACAGCAUCUUCAUCCUGAUCGCAGAGGUAGCAGGGGGAGAUGUCAUCUUGGAGCCCAUGUCUAAGGCGCCGAUCAGAGGUCCAUAUCCUAUAUUGGAUAGCCAGCCACAUGAAGAUCUUGCAGGUGAGCGGCGCCCAGCACUUCCAGACCCAUUUAGCGAAUGUAACGCUGACUGCACCCUUGAAAAACAUCCGAUAGGCAGAGGCGGAUGUGUAGACUUGCUUCGAAUUCCAUGGCCAAAUUGCCUCAUCCUGUAAGUUCGGGUCCAACCGAGCGGCCAGAAUAUGAUCCCAGAGCCUAAUAAACUGAACCAAACCUUCCGUAGACAGGUCACCUGAGAUGUCAGACGUCCACCGAUGGUUAAGUAAUCCCUCUUUCACAGUUCUUCUAUUGACUGUCUGCGUUCGAACUGUACACCAAACGUCCGGUGCAAUCUCCUUGGCCGACACACCUCCCAUCCAUCUAUAUUUUCAGAAGAGCGCGGUGGCCCCAUCGUGAAUUCUCCAGUGGACUAAGCUGUCGAAAGCAGCAAGAACUGGCGGAUCCUUGUCCAUGGGAAGUCCAUGCCAGGGGCGACUCCUAUCAGUGCGCCGCAACCAUUCCCACCUCAACCUAAGGGCCAAGCCCUGACGCUUUAGAUCGAUUAGUCCGAGUCCGCCAAGAUCCUUGGGCCUGCAGACUCUCUGCCAAGCAACCAAGCACUUCCCUCCAUGUAUCUCCUCAUAGCCCUCCUAGAAGAAAGCACAGCAUCGUUUGUUCACUUGCUCCAGUGCCCAUUUUGGUGCGUCCGCAAUGAUUAUGUGGUGCAUUGGUCGCGCCAUGACUACGUCGUGGACAAGAACCAGCCGCCCAGCUCUAGUUAUGAGACCCUUCUGCCAUCUCGGCAUGAAAUUGAGCACGAUGUCCACCACCGACUGCCAUUCAGAGCGCGUUAAUUGUCAGAUGGAUAGUUGGAGGCCCAGAUACUUGCAGGGAAAACUCUCCAAGCGCCAAGGCAUCGCCCCUUGGACAAGCUCCUUGUCUCCGUCUUCCUCUCUGAUCAGGAUUGCCACUGAUUUCUCAUAGUUUAUACGCAAACCCGAGGCAUUUCCGAAGAUGUGCAAAGCCUCUCUGACGAACCGAAGAUCAGAGGUGGUGGGCCUGAUAAAUAGAACCACAUCAUUCGCAUAUAUAGAAAGCCUUUGCAUCGGCGUGCAACCCGGCAUAGUACUCAGCACAUUGCACUCCUGUGCUGUGUUGAUGAGAGAUGUGAGCACGUCCAUAGCGAUGACGAAUAGGAGUGGUGAGACGGGAUCUCCCUGGCGUAAGCCUUGAGCAUGCAAGAAUUUUUGACCUACAUAGCCGUUGACUACCACACGGGAGUGAGCUGUGGAUAGGAGCGUGGAUAUACAGGAGAGCCAUGUUUCUGAAAAGCCCUUGGCCUGAAGGACUUCAAACAAGAAAGGCCAAGAUAAGCUGUCGAAGGCCUUCGAGAUGUCCAGUUUAAGCAUGACUCCUUUAGAUUUACGUCGGUGAAGAGACCGAGCUACUUGUCUGACAAGCAAGAAAUUGUCAUGCAAGUUCCUUCCUUUGAUAAACACCGACUGGUUGGGCUGUACGAGCUCAUUCAUGCGUGGUCUUAGUCUGUUCGCUAGUAAUUUGGAUCCAAUCUUUGGCAAGCUAUGCACCAAGCUAAUAGGCCUAAAAUCUCCCACCUGACAAGCUCCCCGCUUCUUCGGGAUUAGCGUGAUAAGAGCUUGGUUGAGGCGCCCAAAUCCGUGACCAUUGCCAAGAAACAAGUGGUGCAGAGCGGCCAUCACGUCUCCCUUGACAGUACUCCAAGACUUAUGGAAGAAUAAUCCAAUGAAUCCAUCCGGACCGGGCGCCCGAUCAGCGGGCAUCUCUUUAAUGGUGGCCCACAGAUCCUCCUCCGUAAACACCGUGUCCUGGUCGUUCAAGUUGAUGGGUUGGAUCCUAAGGAAGUCCAAAUCCACGGUGUUGUCGCGCCUCCUCGCAGUUCCCAGCAGAUCUUUGUAGGCCUCAAAGAAGAGCUGCUCUUUCCCAAGCUGAUCUGUGAUCAAGUUCCCAUCAUGCGAUAUCGCUGGAAUGAAAUUCUUCGUCUUCCUCCCAUUCGCCACGAGGUAGAACAGUUUGGUGCUUGCAUCACUCUCUUGAAUCCAGCGUAUCCUCGAUCUUUGGCGAGCAAUUGUGCGCUCAAGCGAGGCAAGACCUAGUGUGGUCAACUUUAAUGUCCUCCUAAGCCACCGUUCCCCAUCCGUAAGCCGGCGCUUUUCCUGCGCCACAUCCAACUGGAAGAUGAUCCAGUUCGCGAUCGCAAUCUGAAGCUUAAUAUUGCCCAUCUUUUUUUGCCCCCAUGAAGUCAGGUAUCGCGCCGUGUUCCUUAGCAAGAUAUCCAAGCGUUUGAAAGGGUCAUGCACGGCUGGGUCGCACACCCAAGCAUCCUUCACCGCAUCCUCAUAGCCCUCAAGCUUGGUCCAAAACACCUCGAAUCUAAAGCGCUUCUGUGGGUGCAUGCUCUCCUGAAGGGUAAGAUGCAAAGGGCAAUGAUCCGAGGAGGAAGUGGAUAGAGCUUGCAGGAGGCAGUCCGGAUGCGCCAGCUCCCAAUCCACAGAAACUAGGGCCUUAUCAAUCUUCGUAAGGGUGGGGGAGUCUCUUUCGUUGCUCCAAGUAUAGGCUCUCCCGUGCAUAUAAAGCUCCUUGAGACUGUUGCCGUCAACAAACUGGCGGAAUUUAUGCAUCAUGUGUCUAUCAAUGAGUGAGUUGUUCUUAUCCGUGGCUUGGAGGAUCAUGUUGAAGUCUCCAAUGACCAGCCACGCGCCCGGACAGAGCGAUCUCCUGGCCUCUAAUUCCUCAAGGAAAAGCAUUUUGUCCUGGUCCUCUUGGGGGCUGUAAACCGUGGUGAGCCAUCAGGGUGCACCAUCUGUGUGGGCGAGACAAAGCCAGAGAUGAAGUGCGUGUCCCGCACACAAUUCGUGAUGCGCACCAACUCCGAUUUCCAAGCUAAAAGGACUCCUCCCCUAGUGUCACAACUAAAUUAUUAACAACGGGUGCUUGCGGCGCUCCACCCCACUAGUAUAACAAAAAGUAGGCUUUGGUUUUUCACAGUUUUUUAAAUAUAUUUUUUUGCAAGGGCAAUUAGGUAAGGUGCCGACUACGAGCUGCACCGUCAGCUGCAAGAGGUGACAAUAACGUCAACAGUGGGGGUGUCGAUGACAACGACGGUUGGGGCCUCGGGGGUGGCGAAGAGGCCGAAAGCAAGGUGGCGGCAAAGAGGUCAAGAAAAGGCCAGAAACUCGAUGGAGUGGGGAGGACUAGCCUGCGUGCUACCAACACACUGGGCAAGGGAGGACAAGGGAAGGACGCCGCGAGUGUUCGCGGAAGGGGAGGACGCGGCAGAGUGUUCACGGACGCAAACCGAUCCCAGAUUUGGGCUGAAAAUGAGUCAAAGCGAACAGCAAAAUGGACAUUGAUCCCUUUGCGUCACCGCAUUGUGCCGUGGUUCAACAUGUCUCUAGGACACAUACAUGACCAAAAACAUGUUUCUAGGACACAUACAGACGAAUUGCAUUGGCCCAUUAGAAGUUGCCCUUAGCUCAACAUGUCUCUAGGACACAUGACCAAAAACAUGUUUCUUUAAGAAACCAAACACAUGUUCCAUGCAUCAUCCCCUCAAAAAAAAAAAUGUUCCAUGCACGUAACAUUUCUGAGAAUGUCCCUACACAAUGCGAGACUAGCUACCAAAUACGGCCUAUUGAUUGCACAAACUAUGUGCAACAAAGCACACUGUCGCCGGCACACCAAAUGACAUUUUCUAGACAUAAACGUUUGCCAGUAAAACAAACACACAGAUAUCUUAUGUAACUUAAACGCCCCAGAACGCUUUCACCUUCAAAGCACAUUGUACAGCAAUUGCUCUCGCUGGCAUUUCAAGCUGCG
rnacentral:lncRNA from 1 species